UACGUAGGAGACGAGCGUUGUCCGGAAUUACUGGGCGUAAAGCGCGUGUAGGCGGAUGGGCAAGUCUGCUGUGAAAGCUCCUGGCUUAACCGGGAGUGGUCGGUGGAAACUGCCAAUCUGGAGGACGGUAGAGGUAGGUAGAAUUCCCGGUGUAGUGGUGAAAUGCGUAGAGAUCGGGAGGAAUACCUGUGGCGAAGGCGGCCUACUGGGCCGGACCUGACGCUGAGACGCGAAGGCGUGGGAGCGAACAGG
rnacentral:rRNA from 1 species